GGAAAAUGAAUCUUGUCUUGACACAAACUGUGAUGCAUUUAUCGUUUUCUCUCUCCACUGGACUAAGGCUGUAGAAAUUUUAGUCUACCACCAUCUCCCAUUUGCUCAAAAAAUCCAACCAUGCCUUAUUAUUUUUAAAUACUCUUAACGAAUCGUGGGGAAGGCUGCCUAGUUUGAGGAAGAAAAUUGUUUAGAAAAUGCUCAGCCUGACAUUUUAUUUGGUAUUUAAAAAUAUCUGCAGUAUUUGAGAGAGAUAUUGGGAGUGGCUGGAUAUUUUCUUGCAUUUAAAAAGCAAAAAAAUGAAAAGCUUUGCAUGCAUCAAGGUGUGGAUUCUGCAAUGCUGCACAGAAACCUACUGCAGCCUCAGACCAACAGCAGCAGCAGCAGCGGCGGCGGCGGCAGCAGCAGCAGCAGCAUUAGCAGCAGCAGCUUCUCUCAAUGCUGAGUAUUGAAUACAGAUAAUCAUGAGGCCCAAGACCCUAAGGAACAGUGCAGCCAGGAGUCGGAAGGAGCCUGGGUUUCUGAAUCAUCACAUGGAGGGGAGCUGUCUUCAGCUGGGAGAGCUGUCUUCAGUUGGAUACUGGGAGGAAGAAAGGGAGCUGGUUAGGAAGCAAACUUGAGUUUCCCAUGCUCUGUGGCUGAGCAAGUCACUUCACCAUUCUCAGGAUGGAAGUGGGGAUGGAGGUGGCAUCGGCCUCAUUUGAACCACAUGGACUAAGAGGGGCUAUGGGAGUAUUCCCCAAAGGAAGACUGAGGGGCGUUACUAGAAAAUGGGAGAAUGGAAGCAGAGUGGGCAAAACCAACAGAUGUUCCCUAUAGUAAAUAAAAAAUUUGGACAAUUAUUAGUGAGCAAGUACUUAUAACAUAUAUGGCACAUGGGAUUGUGACUCACCAGUGUGUUAGCACAAUAUGGUCAAAAACCUCUGAUCCAAUUCAACCUACUCAUCUUAACGAUUUUAUCAGCAUUUAAUAAGUUUGUUUUGGCCAUCAUGUGUUAUAGUUUUGUUUGUGGUUUUGACACCUCAUUAGAGGUUUCAUCAGUGUAAGGAGCCAACCUAAGAGCUCUUCUCACAAGUUUCCCAAGAGAGAAAUUGCCCCUCCAAAUGUGAGGAGUCUCACUUUAUAUAGAUAGCAUCCACACUUCUUGCAGUGGAAAACAAACCUUAUAAAAUGUAAUACGUUUGGUUUCCUAACUUUUUCAUGACCCUGGGGUGGUAGAAGGAAGUGCAAGUUUUAUCACUUGGAUUUAGAGACAAGGAAAUUGAAAUGGAGAGAGAAUUGGGCUCACAUGCAGGCAGCAUGUCUAGCUGCCUCCAUCGUGUGAUCUGAGGCACCCCAUGAGGCCUAUGAUUACUGUAAACCUCUAAAAUAAAUAAAAAAUAAAACAAUCUCUGCCACUGA
rnacentral:lncRNA from 1 species